UAGGGAAUCUUCCGCAAUGGACGCAAGUCUGACGGAGCAACGCCGCGUGAGUGAAGAAGGAUUUCGGUUCGUAAAACUCUGUUGUUAGAGAAGAACAGCGCAUAGAGUAACUGUUAUGCGUGUGACGGUAUCUAACCAGAAAGCCACGGCUAACUACGUGCCAGCAGCCGCGGUAAUACGUAGGUGGCAAGCGUUGUCCGGAUUUAUUGGGCGUAAAGCGAGCGCAGGCGGUCAAUUAAGUCUGAUGUGAAAGCCCCCGGCUCAACCGGGGAGGGUCAUUGGAAACUGGUUGACUUGAGUGCAGAAGAGGAGAGUGGAAUUCCAUGUGUAGCGGUGAAAUGCGUAGAUAUAUGGAGGAACACCAGUGGCGAAGGCGACUCUCUGGUCUGUAACUGACGCUGAGGCUCGAAAGCGUGGGUAGCAAACAGGAUUAGAUACCCUGGUA
rnacentral:rRNA from 1 species